AGUGAACGCUGGCGGUAGGCCUAACACAUGCAAGUCGAACGGCAGCACAGUAAGAGCUUGCUCUUACGGGUGGCGAGUGGCGGACGGGUGAGGAAUACAUCGGAAUCUACUUUUUCGUGGGGGAUAACGUAGGGAAACUUACGCUAAUACCGCAUACGACCUACGGGUGAAAGCAGGGGAUCUUCGGACCUUGCGCGAUUGAAUGAGCCGAUGUCGGAUUAGCUAGUUGGCGGGGUAAAGGCCCACCAAGGCGACGAUCCGUAGCUGGUCUGAGAGGAUGAUCAGCCGCACUGGAACUGAGACACGGUCCAGACUCCUACGGGAGGCAGCAGUGGGGAAUAUUGGACAAUGGGCGCAAGCCUGAUCCAGCUAUACCGCGUGGGUGAAGAAGGCCUUCGGGUUGUAAAGCCCUUUUGUUGGGAAAGAAAAGCAGCAGGUUAAUACCCCGCUGUUCUGACGGUUCCCAAAGAAUAAGCACCGGCUAACUUCGUG
rnacentral:rRNA from 1 species